CUUGUCGGACGGGCAGUCGCUCCCGGCCAGGCCGGGGGAGGAAAGUCCGGUCUCCACAGGGCAGCGUGCCGGCUAACAGCCGGGGGGACGCGCUCAAAGCGCGUUUCACGGAAAGUGCCACAGAAAACAUACCGCCGGACGCUGGCUACAAGCCAGCGUUCGGUAAGGGUGAAAAGGUGCGGUAAGAGCGCACCGCAGCCCGGAGUAAUCCGGCUGGCAGGGUAAACCCCACGCGGAGCAAGACCAAAUAGGAGAGGAGGAGUGGCCCGCUCCGUUUGACUCUCGGGUAGGUCGCUUGAGCCGCUCAGCAAUGAGCGGCCCAGAGGAAUGACUGCCGCCCGUCAGGGUACAGAAACCGGCUUACAGUCCGGCAGGUCCU
rnacentral:RNase_P_RNA from 1 species